rfam:Nicotiana attenuata strain TT chromosome 5, whole genome shotgun sequence.
ACAAAAAAGUUGGCAUUUAGGUUUCGGACUCCUCGUACCACUGUCCUUGAGUUCUAAGGAGACAGGAAACCAAGUCUGGUUGAAGAGACAUGGCCGUUAGACUAGAGCGUGAUUAACAGUUCCUACGCCCCUCGAGUCAUGACGCAGUAGAUGAUCGUUCUCAGCCCCUAAUCAUGGUUGCUGGGAUGGUCUAACAGCUGUCUGACAAAUU